GCUUUCCUGCUUUGCCUUUGCUUGGUUGCUUGUGUUGUGUGCUGUGCUGUGCAGUGGCGAUGACUGCUUUGCUGCUGCUGUUCUUAAUUGCUGCAUGCCAUGUCUCACUUGGAAAGUAUUUUUUUGCUUUGCUUUGUUUGUUUGUUUCAGCCAGGGGGGAAGAAGGAAGGAAGAAGAAGAACACUGCUGCCAAUCCGAGGAACAAUCCAACGGGGGCAACAGAAAAGGAAAUUUUCUGCUCCUGCGGUUGAGUUGGUAAAAUUUGGGAGGUGAUGGCAUCGAAUUCAUCGGCUGCAGCUGCGGCGGCGUUCUUCGGGAUUAGCAGGGAUGGGGACCAGCAUGACCAGAUUAAGCCGCUGAUAUCACACCAACAGCACCAGCACCAGCAGCAGCAGCUGGCAGCGUCACUGACCGGCGUGGCAACAGCGGCGCCUACUGCGGCGUCCAGCCAAGGCGCACCGCCGGCGGCGCCACCGGCCAAGAAGAAGAGAAAUCUACCAGACCCGGACGCGGAGGUGAUAGCGCUGUCGCCCAAGACGCUGCUGGCGACGAACCGGUUCGUGUGCGAGGUGUGCAACAAGGGAUUCCAGCGGGAGCAGAACCUACAGCUGCACCGGCGAGGCCACAACCUGCCGUGGAAGCUGAAGCAGAAGAACCCGGCGCAGGCGCAGCGCCGCCGCGUGUACCUGUGCCCGGAGCCGACGUGCGUCCACCACGACCCGGCCCGCGCCCUCGGCGACCUCACCGGCAUCAAGAAGCACUUCUGCCGCAAGCACGGCGAGAAGAAGUGGAAGUGCGACAAGUGCUCCAAGCGCUACGCUGUCCAGUCCGACUGGAAGGCCCACUCCAAGAUCUGCGGCACCCGCGAGUACCGCUGCGACUGCGGCACCCUCUUCUCCAGGAGGGACAGCUUCAUCACGCACAGGGCGUUCUGCGACGCGCUGGCGCAGGAGAGCUCCAGGCUGCCGCCGACGAGCCUCAGCAGCCUCACCAGCCACCUGUACGGCGCCAGCAACGCCGGGAACAUGGCGCUCAGCCUCUCCCAGGUGGGCUCCCACCUCACCACCUCGCUCCAGGACGGCGGCGGCCACCACCACCACCCGUCCCCCGAGCUGCUCCGCCUCGGCGGCGCGGGCGGUGGCGGCGGGGCCGGCGGCGGGAGCAGCAUCGCCGCGCGGCUCGACCACCUGCUGUCGCCGUCGGGCGCGUCUGCCUUCCGCCCCCCGCAGCCGGCGUUCUUCCUCAACGCCGCCGCGGCGGCGGCGGCGACUGGGCAGGAUUUCGGCGACGACGCUGGCAAUGGGCAGCACUCGUUCCUGCAGGCCAAGCCGUUCCAUGGCCUCAUGCAGCUGCCCGACCUCCAGGGCAAUGGCGCCGGGGGCCCCGGCGCGCCGGGACCUAACCUCUUCAACCUCGGCUUCUUCGCCAACAACGGCAACAGCUCGGGGUCUAGCCAUGAGCAUGCCAGCCAGGGGCUGAUGAGCAAUGACCAGUUCAGCUGUGGUGCAGGCGGCGGCGGCGGUCUGACGCGUCGGCGGCGGGGAUCUCCGGCGGUAACUUCGUUGGUGGCGACCAUGUUUCUCCUGCAGGGCUCUACAACGAUCAAGCGGCGAUGCUGCCGCAGAUGUCGGCGACCGGCUCUCCUCCAGAAGGCGGCGCAGAUGGGCGCGACGUCGAGCGCGAACGGCCCGGGCUCCAUGUUCCGUGGCUUCGUCGGCUCGUCGCCGCACAUGCGGCCGGCGGCGCAGCACAUGGACCAGAGCGACGCGCACCUCAACGACCUGAUGAACUCCCUCGCCGGCGGCGGCGUCAACGCCGCCGCCAUGUUCGGCGGCACCAACGGCGGCGGCGUCCCUGGCGCGGGGAUGUUUGAUCCGAGGCUGUGCGACAUCGAGCACGAGGUGAAGUUCAGCCAGGGCGGCGGAGGCGGAGGCGGCGCCGGCGCCGGCACCGGCGACGGGACGCGGGAUUUCCUCGGCGUCGGCGGUGGCGGCAUCGUCCAUGGCAUGUCGACGCCGAGAGGAGACCACCACCAGAGCAGCAGCGACAUGAGCUCCUUGGAGGCCGAGAUGAAGUCCGCAUCGUCCUUCAACGGGAGAAGGAUGCCAUGAAUCCACCAUGAUCAAGUCAUCGAUCGAGCUUACACAAGCCGUCAAGCUCCGAUCGAUCGGUAGUAGUACCAAGUGAGAGUCUGAGACUUGAAGCAAUGCAACUGCAACUCUGGGGGAUUAACGCAUGCGCGCAUGAAUUGGGGAGGAGCAAGCUAAGGUUAUAGUAUACUCAUCAUAUAUAGCCUAAUGUCGAGUUAGCAACUAAGUUUGAUCGAUCGCAUGAGCUGGUGUGCAAGCAUGCAUGGGAUAAAAGCUAUACUAAGCUAGCUCUUCAAGCAUAUCAUGACCUGGAAAACUUGGGGUUUAGUCAGGAAGAGAGGCGUCCUCUCUGACUAAUUAAGUAAUUAAGGCUAGUGCGAGUGGACGCGUGUGAUGACCCUUGUUGCUCUCGGUGGGGUUGGUGUUAAUGCCGUUGCUAUUGUUCUUGUUGUUUGUUUUCACCUCCUUGUAGUUGGAUCCUUGUUGGGUUAAGUAUAGUUCCAUAGAGCCAAUAAGAAUGUUCAAUUUGUAGCUAGCUCAAUGGGGGAAAGAGAGUGGCUUAAUUUCCCCUCGUUCUCUUCCUCUCUUUUUUUUCCCUUUCAAUUUCUUGUUUUUAUUAAUUAAUUACUGUUCCUUGUAGCAAAAAAAACCAUAUAUUGCCCUGCAAAGUGCAAUUGAUCAUGUUGGCUCAAAUGCAUGAUUUUUCCAGUUUU